CCUACGGGAGGCAGCAGUGGGGAAUUGUUCGCAAUGGGCGCAAGCCUGACGACGCAACGCCGCGUGGAGGACGAAGAUCUUCGGGUCGUAAACUCCUGUCGAGCGGGACGAACGCUUCGCGGAUGAAUAAUCCGCGGAAUUGACGGUACCGCUAAAGGAAGCCCCGGCUAACUCCGUGCCAGCAGCCGCGGUAAUACGGGGGGGGCAAGCGUUGUUCGGAAUUACUGGGCGUAAAGGGCUCGUAGGCGGCCAACUAAGUCGGAUGUGAAAUCCCCAGGCUCAACUUGGGAACUGCAUCCGAUACUGGAUGGCUUGAAUCCGGGAGAGGGAUGCAGAAUUCCAGGUGUAGCGGUGAAAUGCGUAGAUAUCUGGAGGAAUACCGGUGGCGAAGGCGGCAUCCUGGACCGGCAUUGACGCUGAGGAGCGAAAGCCAGGGGAGC
rnacentral:rRNA from 1 species